rnacentral:misc_RNA from 1 species
AGUGACUACGGGAUCCCCACCCUCCUCCACUUCGCCGCCCAGUAUGGACUGACCGAUCUCUGCUGCUCCGUCCUUGACACACCUGGGUCCCUGGCCGCCUUCCACAUCGAGAAUAAAGACGGCCUUGAUCCCGCCCAAAUAGCAGACAAAGAGGGAUUCCACGAACUAGCCAGCUUCAUCAGAAUGUUUGUCGAGACCGCGGCGGUGAUUGAGGUCUCUGACGAGCUGUACCUACACAUGACGGGCGAGCACCUGUAUAACAACAGGUCUGAGCUACAGGAAGAGCACAAGGAGACGACAGAAAAGUUACAAAAACUCCACACAAGUAAACCCAAAAAGAAACUACCACCCGUUCCCAAAAAGCAGUCCAGGCCACCCCUACCCAAGUCAAUCAGUGAGCCAAUACUGGAGGAACCGGAAGAAAUCAAACCAGAGACUCCAAAGAGAAAGGAACUUCCUCUCCCUCAAAGUAAAUCCUUCGUGAUCCGUGAACCAACAAAAAAACCUGAAGGUCCACAGUUUGCAAAACGAAAUCCUAGCCCUAGUCCCCCGGUGGUCAAAAGAAGUUUCUCCAGUGAUUCCCUCAGACCAGAGAGAGGCCAGGAACCCCCAUCCAACAGAUCAAUGUCGCCGGCGGAGUUGAUGGGGAUGUCCGGCUCUGGACUAAACAUAGAGAGAAGCCCGGGGAGCUUAGGGUCCUCCUCCCUGGACGAACUCAUUGAGAUCCAGAAAGGGGUGUCAGAGAAGGAGUUCUCUAUAGACGAGGCGGAGCGGCUGUACAGCGCUUGGAGGGAGAGGAACCGGAGUUUUAAGAUGUCCAUGAAGGACCGGCAGAAAGGCUUAGAGGAUAUGAGAAACACAUAUGCCGGGGUCAUUCACCAGGCCAAGGCCCGAGGCGAGCGCCAGUCGCUGUUUGAGAGAAUCAAGUCGACCUUUGGUGGCAGGAAGUCAUCCAGAGAAGACAUAUACCAACCCAAAAUUAAGCAUACAACUUAUGAACGUGUUGCGGACUGGACCCAAAACAGAGCUAGCACACUUAGCUCAGGAAGUUCCUCCUCGGGGUCUUCCCGUGACAGCCGGAUGAGCAUAAGUUCCCAGGACAGCGUGUAUCACUCCUCGGACACCGACUCCGACGAUUCGACCUCGCAGAGACGAGGGGGAACAACUGGUGAUGACAAGUCCUUGGCGAAACGACUAUCUUACAAGGACCAUUACCUCCAGCAACCAAUAACAGAGGACCACGUGGGCCCUCCGCCCGUCCCCCCACGAUCUACUAGACCCAAGUAGUCAGUGCCCCUCCCCCCCCCCUCCAAAGUCGUUGUGAAUGACACAAAGUGAAAGUCACAUACAUUUUUAUGUCUAGUUUUAUUUCAAUUUUUAAAUGUUAAGAACUGGAGAUUCUUUGUCAUUGAAUUUUUGGAAUAAAUCUUUGAGUAACAUGCUUUU